GGGGGAUUUGCUUAAUGGUAGAGCACUGUUUUUACACAGCAGCGGCAAGGGUUCGAUUCCUUUAUCCCUUA